rnacentral:rRNA from 1 species
GCGUAUCAGCCUUUUGGGUGUGAUUAUGUGGAGCGUGAGGAGUUAAACACCCUCAUCUUUGCAUAUUCGUGCACUUUGGGUGUACUUGCUCGUGUGGUAGGUUAACAUCAAUUUUGAUCGUCAUAAAAUGGCUAGAGGAACGUAGCUUCGAUCUCGUAUUGAAGUGUUAUAGCCUUUGGUAGAUGUGAUGAUUAGGAUUGAGGAUUGCAACGGAUACCCUUCGGGGCUACCUGCCUGAUCUCUGAAAGUUGCUCUGGUGCUGAAAGCUUGCUUAUGGUAUCAAAGUUGACGUUCAAUAGGUUAGAACGGGAUAAAUUCGUUAAGGAUGUUGACGUAACG